GAUGAACGCUGGCGGCAUGCCUUACACAUGCAAGUCGAACGGCAGCACGGGGCAACCUGGUGGCGAGUGGCGAACGGGUGAGUAAUGUAUCGGAACGUACCUUUCAGUGGGGGAUAACGUAGCGAAAGUUACGCUAAUACCGCAUAUUCUGUGAGCAGGAAAGCAGGGGAUCCUAGGACCUUGCGCUGAUUGAGCGGCCGAUAUCUGAUUAGCUAGUUUGUGGGGUAAAGGCCAACCAAGGCGACGAUCAGUGGCUGGUCUGAGAGGACGACCAGCCACACUGGAACUGAGGCACGGUCCAGACUCCUACGGGAGGCAGCAGUGGGGAAUUUUGGACAAUGGGCGCAAGCCUGAUCCAGCCAUUCCGCGUGAGUGAAGAAGGCCUUCGGGUUGUAAAGCUCUUUCGCAAGGGAAGAAAACUUAGCCACUAACAUUGGCUGAGGUUGACGGUACCUUGAUAAGAAGCACCGGCUAACUCCGUGCCAGCCGCCGCGGUAAAAC
rnacentral:rRNA from 1 species